GACGAACGCUGGCGGCGUGCUUAACACAUGCAAGUCGAGCGGUAAGGCCCUUUCGGGGGUACACGAGCGGCGAACGGGUGAGUAACACGUGGGUGACCUGCCCUUAGCUCUGGGAUAAGCCUGGGAAACUGGGUCUAAUACCGGAUAUGACUCCAUGACGCAUGUUGUGGGGUGGAAAGCCUUGUGCGGCUAGGGAUGGGCCCGCGGCCUAUCAGCUUGUUGGUGGGGUGAUGGCCACCAAGGCGACGACGGGUAGCCGGCCUGAGAGGGCGACCGGCCACACUGGGACUGAGACACGGCCCAGACUCCUACGGGAGGCAGCAGUGGGGAAUCUUGCGCAAUGGGCGAAAGCCUGACGCAGCGACGCCGCGUGAGGGAUGACGGCCUGGUGUAAC
rnacentral:rRNA from 1 species